rnacentral:misc_RNA from 1 species
GAUGCAGCCGGGCAGUCAAGACACACGCGGGAACGGCGCAGCGAAAGGGAGAUUUUAGACGACCAAGUUCAUCAGAAUUCAGAAGCUGUACCUGAAGCUGGGUUAUAAUGCCGGGGGAUGCGUGCACGACUGGUGGAGAACGGAUGGAGGAGCAGCCACCGCCUGCCCUCCCACGCCACACUCCCCCCAGCCCCAGACCAGCUCCUCCAUGCCGUUCUCCCUCCGUGGCCAGUGUCUCCCGGACCAUUAUGUCCUGCCUUGGCCCGCACGUCAGACUCACAUCAAACGAGAACACUGAACAAAAGGAAUGGCCGUGCUGGGGCAAACCAACGAUAAUGUACUCCAGGCUUCAUUAGCAAAUGUCCUAAGUACCGCUUCCUUGGCAUCCUUGGUUAAUCUACCUACCUACAGUAUAUUUUCUCCGAGUUGGGCAACACCGGCGACCCACAAAGCAGUCAUGGCUUUACUGGAUAUCUGCUUCAAGGUGCCAAGGCGGCCUUUAUUAUUUGAUGAAUAUGGUGCUCAGUCCAAGCUCACAAUACCCGUAGCUCCUCUAGCGAAAAAAAAGGCUUACACCACAUCAGCUGCUCAAAAAGAACAUUUCUCCGUAGUUAAUGGUAGCACCGUAACUCCUCCUCCUCCGCCUCCUCUUCAAGUAUAUGUCGGACGAAUUUCAGCCGUACACUUGGAUAUUGUCGUUUUAUAUUAAACGUUGUUGUAUUAUGGAGAAAAAAAAACUUUUAUAUAACUGAUAACAUCGUACCUCGGAAGGUGUGUGUGUGUGUUUGUGUUUGUGUUUGUCUGUAUAUACUGUACAUGUAUGGUUGUAUGUAUGUGUUGUUUAAUCACAAGUUAUUACUAGUUUCCAGUUGUCAAAUGGAAGGGAGUGCGUUCAUAAAGAGUAUGAAUUCAUAAUAAGUUUUACUUAUUGCUUCUGUCUAUUUUUCUUUUAUUUGUUUAAUUAUUUGUAUGCAUUUUUUGUACAUUUUUACUUUUGCGGCGAGCGUUACACCAAAAAUGUUUGACACGUAUUCGUAUGUAUUGGUAUAUUUAUAUGAUUUUCUUUAUUCCUAUUUUUUGAAGUUAGCGAAAACAUUUCGUAAUUUAAUUUCGUGUAUUCUUUAUUUUUAUUAGAG